rnacentral:rRNA from 1 species
GCUUAGACGUAAACCAAGGCCCACCCCACGCCCGCCAGAGUACUACAAGUGAAAAACUUAAAACUCAAAGGACUUGACGGCAUUCCACACCACACUAGAGGAGCCUGUCCUAUAACCGAUAACCCACGUUUGACCUCACCUGUUCUAGCAAACUUCAGCCUAUAUACCGCCGUCCAGCUCGCCUUGCAAAAGAACCCAAAGCGAGCAAACCAGCCCCCACUAACACGUCAGGUCAAGGUGUAGCUAAUGUACAGGCAGAGAUGGGCUACAUUUUCUACACCAGAAAACCACCCCCCGCACCAUGAAACAAGUGCACAAAGGAGGAUUUAGCAGUAAGUCGCGCAAGCGUGCCCAACUGAACACCGCCAUGGAAUGCGU